rnacentral:tRNA from 2 species
GGAUGAUUAGCUCAGCUGGGAGAGCACCGCCCUUACAAGGCGGGGGUCACUGGUUCGAACCCAGUAUCAUCCACCA